rnacentral:lncRNA from 1 species
UAGAAUCUAAUUAUUAUCCAAGUGUCCUUGUCUCGUGACCCCUUCGAAUCUCGGUUCAUCAUUUGCAAAAAACUUCUUUGCACCUUUGUCAAAUCCUCAAAUUUUCACUUUAAGUCCCGGUCAAUUUUUUUAUAUUAACAUCCUCUAAAAUUUAAAAAUAAUAAAUAUAAAUAAAAAAUUAUUUAAUUUAGCUCAACUUAGCAAAAAAAAGAGAUCAUGUGGAUGUCGUGUGAUAAACAUUUGUUAAAGGGCAACUAUUUUAAUUAUUAAACCCACAUAUUGACUUGCAAAUCAAUAUACUCAAUCACCAUCCAUUACAAAAUCUCAAUGGACAAGCCAUGGACACCAACCCUUAAGACGCCUUAAUAGUUUAUACUCAAUUUAGACUUCAUCAUCUCAAUUGCAACACCUUAUAUGAAAGAAACAUUGGAGAUCAUCUAGAGCACAACACCUCGUAUGAAAAAAGAAACAAAAUCUUGAGAGUUUUCAGAGGUCUAGAGACAAAAUGGAGUGAUACUUGGUGGUUUAUCAUUGGUUGUAGCUGUAACAGUAGUGGGGAUUUUGCAACAGGAUUUUCAAGAAAAGUGGAUUACUUGGUGGAAUUUUUGGACUCGACAAGCUCAAUUUCAAAGAAGAGAGAAUAAAGAAAGAAGAAUAUGUAAAGGGAGGCAGGGAUGCAACCAAAACAUAAUCAAUCAUGGAGAUAUAAAUGAAGGGAAACAGUAAUGGCGUGAAAAAAUUUAACCAGAACUUAAGUGAAUAAUUAACAAUUUCAUGAGAACUUAAAGAACUUUUUUUACUAAAUAAUUUAAAUUUUAUUUUGAUAAAAAAUAUUUUAUAUUUAUUAAAUUUUUUAGGGUUUCAAACGUUAGAAAAUUUAAAAAUAUUUUAUAUUUUUAUUAUAUUUUAAUUUUUUAAAAAUAUUUUAUCCAAAAGAAAGCCGCAGAAUUGAAACUUUUUUCAGUACAAACUGCUUAAUUUGAUUUUUAUUGUUAAAUAAUUUUAAUUUUUAGUUCGAUUUAAUUUUUUAAUAAAAAAUAAUUAUAAAAAAAAAAAACUACGCCAAUGGAUUUGUAAAACUAUGUGGUAUUUUCCUACCUAUAUAUAUGAAUGAACUGAAGUUUAAAAGGCCGCUACCUUAUCACAGAAGACAAAAUCACGCUCUCCUCUGCUUCUCUUUCUUUUCUUUGUCUGAGCCUCUGCUUCUCUUAAACCCAACCAUCCAUUCUCAGUUUUUCACUCAUGCCGGUUCUUGCCAUCGCUUCUUCUCCUUCCUAUUGUUUAAUUCUCCUUCUGCCUUUCAGAUAUAUAUUUGGUUAUGUCAUUCUGAAAGGGAUUUGAGGAAGGGGAGCAUAUCCAGCCUUAUUUCUUCUUCCCUUGAACCGUUGGUGCUUCUUCUCCUUCUAAGAGCAAGUGAUCGCGUCGAGAGCACUAAUCAAGAAAGAUUGAGCUCAACAUUACCACUUCUAUAAGCCAUGGAUUUAGGUUAAUUUGUCUGGCGAUGGCUUAUGGAUGUAGAUUUGUUGUAUUUGUAAAAGGUAUGCUUCCUCGAUGCUUGCA